rnacentral:misc_RNA from 1 species
UCCGGUUUGUCACCGGCAGUCUCGCAUGAGUCCCCAACUAAAUGCUGGCAACAUGCGACGGGGGUUGCGCUCGUUGCGGGACUUAACCCAACAUCUCACGACACGAGCUGACGACAGCCAUGCACCACCUGUGAAGAUCCGGCCGAACCGACUCCGUGUUUCCACGGAUGCGAUCUACAUGUCAAGCCCAGGUAAGGUUCUUCGCGUUGCGUCGAAUUAAACCACAUGCUCCGCUGCUUGUGCGGGCCCCCGUCAAUUCCUUUGAGUUUCGGUCUUGCGACCGUACUCCCCAGGCACCUAGUGCCCAUCGUUUACGGCGUGGACUAC